AUACGGAGGGUGCAAGCGUUACUCGGAAUCACUGGGCGUAAAGGAUGCGUAGGCUGGAUGUCAAGUUGGAAGUGAAAUCCUAUGGCUUAACCAUAGAACUGCUUCCAAAACUGGCAACCUAGAGUGAGGGAGAGGCAGAUGGAAUUAGUGGUGUAGGGGUAAAAUCCGUAGAUAUCACUAGGAAUACCGAUUGCGAAGGCGAUCUGCUAGAACUCUACUGACGCUAAGGCAUGAAAGCGUGGGGAGCAAACAGGAUUAGAAACCCUGGUAGUCC
rnacentral:rRNA from 1 species